rnacentral:rRNA from 1 species
AACGAACGCUGGCGGCAUGCCUAACACAUGCAAGUCGAACGAGACCUUCGGGUCUAGUGGCGCACGGGUGCGUAACGCGUGGGAACCUGCCCUUAGGUUCGGAAUAACUCCCCGAAAGGGGUGCUAAUACCGGAUAAUGUCUUCGGACCAAAGAUUUAUCGCCUUUGGAUGGGCCCGCGUUGGAUUAGCUAGUUGGUAGGGUAAAAGCCUACCAAGGCGACGAUCCAUAGCUGGUCUGAGAGGAUGAUCAGCCACACUGGGACUGAGACACGGCCCAGACUCCUACGGGAGGCAGCAGUGGGGAAUAUUGGACAAUGGGCGAAAGCCUGAUCCAGCAAUGCCGCGUGAGUGAUGAAGGCCUUAGAGUUGUAAAGCUCUUUUACCCGGGAUGAUAAUGACAGUACCGGAAGAAUAAGCUCCGGCUAACUCCGUG